GAGAAAAAAAAGGAAGGGCAGGAGGGGAGAAAAUGCAACACGUAACAAGCAGUGAAAAGGGGGGAAAAUGGAGACAUGAUUUACCAUCACGCCAUAAAGGGGAAGCCAACAUUUAGCCAACAACACCACCAAAACAGUGGCCAAUAUUGAUGAAUUAACUGUUUUUACUGAACCAGAGGAGAAGAUUCCAGCAAAGCUGAAUAAAGUUCAAGGCUCCCCCGUCUCCACUACCACGUCUAGCCUCUCCACCCCUGACAAACCUGCCAACCUUACUCCUCUCGACAGCUCUGACCCUCCACCAGCCAAAUCUCAGUCAACCUCAGUCAGAGUGAGAUCAUAAAUGCUUACCUUGUGUGGGUAACAAACAAGGUCAAAGUUAUUGACACAUAUGCAAUGAUGGCGAUUUGGAAUGGCAAAUCGAGGGGGUUGAGAAAGCUUGAUGUGAGGGAGUGGGACACUCUUGUUGGAGCUGUCUGCAAGAACCACCAUUGGACUCUAGUGGCCAUGUAUCCAAAGGAAGGGCGGGCUCUGUUUUUUCGAUCCAUUUGGAGCCACUUCUGCUCAGCUGAAUCAUUGUAGGGACUGUACAAGGGCAUUCAUGCAGAAGAAAAAUGUGAACUUAUCAAGAUGGAUGUGUGACACUGUCUCAUAUCCCCUUCAGCAGGAUUCCACGUCCUGUGGAGUGCUGGUGUGCAAAACAACCAGACAGAACUGUGCCGCAUGUGUGGUGAAAGGAACUCUGCGGACACCUCGGAGCCACCUGUUUAUCACUGGAUUGAAUGCACAUUGUGUUCCCGGUGGUUCCACUGGGUUUGUGUAUAGCACAGCCCAGCACAGAUGAAGACUAUCUGUGCCCAUCUUGCAAUUGAAAAUUAAUCUAAUCCAUGUUAAACUUUUUGACAAAUUGAACGUGAUUGUCUUUUUUGGCUUAUUAAAGUCAAAUGAA